GUUAGCCAAAGUCAAGAAUGAGCUGUCAACAGUUUCCCAAAGGAAAACAAUGUGAAGAUCAAGAAAUACUGUAUUUCACCAGAGGAAUCCUUGCAAAUACAUUUUACUCCACUAUGCAAAAUCCUGUGGAACCAGUUUUUUAUACAUAUUUUUAGCUGAAAGAUCAAGGAAAUGUGUCACAGUUGGGGACCUGUAUCAUAAUUAUCUCUGUAAAAAUGCCAAAGCAAUUGGGGAAAAAAAUACUGUUUUCUCUGAAAUGAAGACUCCUCAAGAUCCUGUUGCUGGAAUGAGUAUUGAACUCUUCGGUCUACUUCUACAGUCACCAGUACAUCUGGCAUACACUAUGAUGCCCAACAGUAGGGAGAUGAAAGAAAUGUAGAUGUUGGCAUUUCUAAAAGAGAUGUUGUAUCUUUUUUCCUACUUAAUAGACUAUUAGGCUAUAAAUCUCAAUCUU
rnacentral:lncRNA from 1 species